rnacentral:rRNA from 1 species
GAUGAACGCUGGCGGCGUGCCUAAUACAUGCAAGUCGAGCGAACAGACGAGGAGCUUGCUCCUCUGACGUUAGCGGCGGACGGGUGAGUAACACGUGGAUAACCUACCUAUAAGACUGGGACAACUUCGGGAAACCGGAGCUAAUACCGGAUAAUAUAUUGAACCGCAUGGUUCAAUAGUGAAAGACGGUUUUGCUGUCACUUAUAGAUGGAUCCGCGCCGCAUUAGCUAGUUGGUAAGGUAACGGCUUACCAAGGCAACGAUGCGUAGCCGACCUGAGAGGGUGAUCGGCCACACUGGAACUGAGACACGGUCCAGACCCCUACGGGAGGCAGCAGUAGGGAAUCUUCCGCAAUGGGCGAAAGCCUGACGGAGCAACGCCGCGUGAGUGAUGAAGGUCUUCGGAUCGUAAAACUCUGUUAUUAGGGAAGAACAAAUGUGUAAGUAACUAUGCACGUCUUGACGGUACCUAAUCAGAAAGCCACGGCUAACUACGUG